GAUGUACGCUGGCGGCGUGCCUAAUACAUGCAAGUCGAGCGAACGGACGAGAAGCUUGCUUCUCUGAUGUUAGCGGCGGACGGGUGAGUAACACGUGGAUAACCUACCUAUAAGACUGGGAUAACUUCGGGAAACCGGAGCUAAUACCGGCUGAUAUUUUGAACCGCAUGGUUCAAAAGUGAAAGACGGUCUUGCUGUCACUUAUAGAUGGAUCCGCGCUGCAUUAGCUAGUUGGUAAGGUAACGGCUUACCAAGGCAACGAUGCAUAGCCGACCUGAGAGGGUGAUCGGCCACACUGGAACUGAGACACGGUCCAGACUCCUACGGGAGGCAGCAGUAGGGAAUCUUCCGCAAUGGGCGAAAGCCUGACGGAGCAACGCCGCGUGAGUGAUGAAGGUCUUCGGAUCGUAAAACUCUGUUAUUAGGGAAGAACAUAUGUGUAAGUAACUGUGCACAUCUUGACGGUACCUAAUCAGAAAGCCACGGCUAACUACGUG
rnacentral:rRNA from 1 species